CUACGCACUCCUACGGGAGGCAGCAGUGGGGGAAUAUUGCACAAUGGGCGCAAGCCUGAAUGCAGCCAUGCCGCGUGUAUGAAGAAGGCCUCGGGUUGUAAAGUACUUUCAGCAGUGAGGAAGGUGGGUAUGUUAAUAGCAUAUUCAUUUGACGUUAGCUGCAGAAGAAGCACCGGCUAACUCCGUGCCAGCAGCCGCGGUAAUACGGAGGGUGCGAGCGUUAAUCGGAAUUACUGGGCGUAAAGCGCAUGCAGGUGGUUUGUUAAGUCAGAUGUGAAAGCCCGGGGCUCAACCUCGGAAUUGCAUUUGAAACUGGCAAACUAGAGUACUGUAGAGGGGGUAGAAUUUCAGGUGUAGCGGUGAAAUGCGUAGAGAUCUGAAGGAAUACCGGUGGCGAAGGCGGCCCCCCUGGACAGAUACUGACACUCAGAUGACGAAAGCGGUGGGGAGACAAACAGGAUUAGACUACCCUGGUAG
rnacentral:rRNA from 1 species